rnacentral:rRNA from 1 species
UUAAAUUGAGAGUUUGAUCCUGGCUCAGGACGAACGCUGGCGGCGUGCCUAACACAUGCAAGUCGAGCGAUGACGUGCUUACUUUGUAAGCAAGGAUUAGCGGCGGACGGGUGAGUAACACGUGGGUAACCUGCCUCAUAGAGGGGAAUAGCCUCCCGAAAGGGAGAUUAAUACCGCAUAAAGUAUGAAAGUCGCAUGACUUUUAUACCAAAGGAGUAAU